GACAGCAGUCGCCACGGGAAUACAGAGGGUGCGAGCGUUAAUCGGAUUUACUGGGCGUAAAGCGUGCGUAGGCGGCUUUUUAAGUCGGAUGUGAAAUCCCUGAGCUUAACUUAGGAAUUGCAUUCGAUACUGGGAAGCUAGAGUAUGGGAGAGGAUGGUAGAAUUCCAGGUGUAGCGGUGAAAUGCGUAGAGAUCUGGAGGAAUACCGAUGGCGAAGGCAGCCAUCUGGCCUAAUACUGACGCUGAGGUACGAAAGCAUGGGGAGCAAACAGGAUUAGAUACCCCGGUAGUCCCUGUCUCUUAUAC
rnacentral:rRNA from 1 species